GGAACAUCAGGAGGUGCAGAGAGAUGGUCGACUCCAUAGGGAACAUCAGGAGGUGCAGAGAGAUGGUCGACUCCAUAGGGAACAUCAGGAGGUGUAGAGAGAUGGUCGACUCCAUAGGGAACAUCAGGAGGUGUAGAGAGAUGGUCGACUCCAUAGGGAUCAUCAGGAGGUGCAGAGAGAUGGUCGACUCCAUAGGGAACAUCAGGAGGUGCAGAGAGAUGGUCGACUCCAUAGGGAACAUCAGGAGGUGUAGAGGGCAGAGAGAUGGUCGACUCCAUAGGGAUCAUCAGGAGGUGUAGAGAGAUG